AACGAACGCUGGCGGCAGGCUUAACACAUGCAAGUCGAACGCAUCGCAAGAUGAGUGGCAGACGGGUGAGUAACGCGUGGGAACAUACCCUUUUCUACGGAAUAGCUCUGGGAAACUGGAAUUAAUACCGUAUACGCCCUACGGGGGAAAGAUUUAUCGGGGAAGGAUUGGCCCGCGUUGGAUUAGCUAGUUGGUGGGGUAAAGGCCUACCAAGGCGACGUUCCAUAGCUGGUCUGAGAGGAUGAUCAGCCACAUUGGGCCUGAGACACGGCCCAAACUCCUACGGGAGGCAGCAGUGGGGAAUAUUGGACAAUGGGCGCAAGCCUGAUCCAGCCAUGCCGCGUGAGUGAUGAAGGCCUUAGGGUUGUAAAGCUCUUUCACCGAUGAAGAUAAUGACGGUAGUCGGAGAAGAAGCCCCGGCUAACUUCGUGCCAGCCGCCGCGGUAACAC
rnacentral:rRNA from 1 species